rnacentral:misc_RNA from 1 species
UUGAAUUUUAAUGAAGAGUUUGGUUGUAGCUGGCCCAUUCAUUUGGGCAUGUGCACACCUUCCUCUUUCAUCCCACACACACCUGUGAACCUGUGAGACAGAGAUGGGGAAUUUACUUGCUGCUUUUUGGAAUACAAAGGCAAUAGGUUAUUGGACCCCCCCUCUGUCUACUCAAUUAAUAUAAACUCAAUUUAUUUUAAAACGAAUGUAUGGAUGUAACACAUCUCAUAC